rnacentral:lncRNA from 1 species
CUGGGGGUGUUGAUUGACGCUAGACUGAACAUAAGCCAGCAGUGUGCCCAGGUGGCCAAGAAGGCCAACGGCAUCCUGGCUUGUAUCAGAAGUAGUGCGGCCAGCAGGAACAGGGAAGUGAUUGUCCCCCUGUACUCAGCACUGGUGAGGCCGCACCUCGAGUGCUAUGUUCAGUUUUGGGCCCCUCGCUGUGAGAAAGACAUGGAGGCCCUGGAGCGUGUCCAGAGGAGGGCAACACAGCUGGUGAGGGGUCUGGAGCACAGACCUUAUGAGGAGCAGCUGAAGGAGCUGGGAUUGUUCAGUCUGGAGAAGAGGAGGCUCAGGGGAGACCUCAUUGCUCUCUAUAACUACCUGAAGGGAGGUUGUAGUGAGCUGGGGGUCAGCCUCUUCUCUCAGGUGACUAGUGAUAGGACUGGAGGGAAUGGCUUCAAGCUGCACCAGGGAAGGUUCAGGCUGGACGUUAGGGAAUACUACUUCUCUGAAAGGGUCGUCAGGCACUGCAAUGGGCUGCCCAGAGAGGUGGUGGAGUCGCCGAGCCUGGAGGUGUUCCUUCAGGAGAACGUGGACUAUCUCAUUCAGGAGCUGCGGAGGCCGAAGUACAGCAUCUAUUAUAUCUUGGCACAGACAGUGGGACAGAGCACACCCUCAAAGAGCGUUGGGAUGUUGUGUUGAGGGACAUGGUUUGGCGGGAACCAUUGGUGAUGGGCGAACGGUUGGACUGGAUGAUCCUGUGGGUCUUUUCCAACCUGAGCGAUUCUAUGAUUCAUGAGGUUCAACAAAUGCAAAUGCAAGGUCUUGUACGUGGCUUGAGGCAACCCCUACUACCAGUAUGAGCUGGGAGGUGAAAAGAUUGAGCACAGCCCUGCUGAAAAGGACCUGGGCGUGCCGGUGGAUGGCAAACGACACGAGCCAGCAAUGUGCCCUCACCCUGCAGAAAGCCAACCAUAUCCUGGGCUGCAUCAAAAGAAGUGUGGCCAGCAGGGCGACAGAGGUGAUCCUGCCCCUCUGCUCUGCACUGGUGAGGCCUCACCUGGAGCACCGUA